GAGCGGCGUGCGGGGGUCUCGCGGCGGUGGCGGCGGGGGCUGCGCGGGGGGAGGGGCGACGGCGGAGGAGGAGGAAAGCGAGAGCGCCUCGCGCCGCGGGAGCGACCGAUUUUUUAAAAUUUUUAUACUCCACUUUUUCUUCCGUCUUUCUCAAACUCAUUUUUCCCUAGUAGCAGAGUUGAGACUUAAUAUUACAAAACUCUGCUUGCUUUAAAGAAUCUAAGAAGAAGAAGAAGAAAAAAAGACACUAAAGAACUUCCAAGCAGAAGUUUGAGAAGUUCUGCUAUAGCCCAUCCACUUGUUUGUGGAAUUUAAAUAUAUCCGUUUUUGCCACAAUAACAGCGUAGCCUUGCUAGAAUCAUAUACAAAGCAGCAGAUUUCUUUCUAUAAAUUACUGGACACUGUGGUGUAAUAUAGACAUUGCUGAGGAGGGAUGUAACUGUAACAGAAACAAAUUACUUACAUUGCAUGCAGUAGGGAAGUGGGUGAAAAGAGCAUUGAACUCUGAGUUGGGAGUCGACUUCAAGGCCCAGCUCAGCACUCUAGCAGAACUUUAGAUGGAUCCAGUUUGCAUGCAGUGGUAGCUGCUGUGAGGCUGCGGUUAAAUAGAGCUGCUCAGACUGCAACAGGAAAGCAUUGAAUCGAAAGCAAAGGGGAGGAAGCACAAACCGAUACCCACCACAAAGCUGCUGAGUGCCCAGCAUGACCCAAGCCGCACCCUCUGAUGAGGAGUCUUGUGGAGGAGUAAGAAGCCACAGACUUUAAUAAACCAUCAGCACAGCCUGUCCUCCACUUCCCUGGUCCAGCCUUCCCGGAUCACCAUGAGUAUCAGCGGGUACUGACCUAAGAAGCUGGGUGAUGACAGAAAAGUGACCAGAAAUGUAGAGUCCAGAGGAAGGUACCCGAAAUGAAUGACUGUAGACCAUUUUAUCUCAAACUCCCUACACAGUCAAGCGUGGUGAGCACGAAGGUCCGGGGCAUGAGAAUGUUUCUGAGGAGCUCCCUGCUUGGGGUGAUUCCCAGAUGAAGACUCCUAAAAAUGUUCCCUAAAAAUGCCUUUGCUACCUCCCUGAAAGGCUGCUUCUAGUAGUGGCCAAAACAACUUAUAAAAAUUUUAUAACUAAAAAUAAAGCCCUUGUGAGAUACAGUUAAGAGAACUUUAAAUAUACACUAAGGUAUGAUGACUAUUUUUAGAUUCCUGACUUCAAUGGAGGGAGGAGAAAGGAAGGAGAUGGAGCAGCAAAGACAUAUGUUACCUACUUGAUUUUGCUCAUGGCCUACCCUGUUUACAUUUGUCCCUUUUGCUAUCAAAGGAGAUAUUAAGGAAUUAUAGGAAAGGAAAUGAAAAGUGUGGAAAAAUAUAUAGGAACUAAGUACAGAUUUUAAACACCGGUAAGGUGGAGAACUCCUUGGAACUCUAGAGCUUCACAGUGGCUCUAUAAUUCACCUGUUCAGGUUCACUACCUCAGAAUCUAAGAAGGUGAGAUCUGGGCCCUACUUUUGCAGCUGGAAGGUCAGAACACAAAGAAUGGAGGUGACUGACUCAGUCUGGAGGAAAGGUUGCUUGGCUUGGCUGGAAGUGGGCACUUGUGUCAUCAUAGAGUGCCAACCUCACACUUCAGAUAACAGAACAGGAAAUAUUGUUAGUUCAGAUGGGAGAGCAGAGGACUGACUGUGUAUCCAAGACCAUUAAGUUAUUCAGUCACCUCUUUGUGUUGUACUUUCUAUCCUACAAGGGACCAGAGCUGGCUGUGGGGAGCUUCGGCAAUAGAUGAAGCAGGCCAUCAGGCCAGUCCCUGUUCCUUGCAGCUUUCUUCUCCCUUCUAUCAUGUUCAGCUUCUUUAAUCUGCUCAACCCAGAAAGUCUUCCAAGAUUGACAUCAUUACCAAAGUUUAAAUGGAAGAAUCUGAGGCAUUUUGAUAGGAGACAGGGGUGACAAUUCUGGAGUAGAGGAACUGUCUCUCACAAGGCCUCUCUACUACAAGUGGUAAAAAUUUGUGCUUUAUUUUAACAACCACAACAACAGUGAAUUGGAAAGGAUCUAAUAACAGAACAGAAUUUGUAGUCAGACAACUUUGUUUUGAAACUAUUCUUCCUUUCUUCCCUUCCUCCCUCCCUCCCUUCCUUCUUUCCUUCCUUCCUUUCCUUCAGAAAGGAAAGGACAGGGAGGAUAGCCAUAGAAUGGGAAGCUCCUUAGACCUCAGAGGAAUGCCGCAAGCUUCCCAAGUCUGAGUGCCUGCCCAGAGUUUGCCUACUUUCUUCAGUAGUCAAGGAUAUUCCUCAAGUUGUGUUUAAUAUCUAUGCAUGAGCCAAACUGUGGUAGGUGGGUGACUGCAUUCCCCAGGUGCAAUCUUUCAGCAUGUGACCUGAUGUAGUACAUUACAUUCCUUAGACAAGGAAAAAAUAGCGAUAUGAAUGCAAAGAGGGGGAGGCAGAGAGUGUAAGCUACUCUAAAACACUUAGUUAUGAAAGAAGAAAGAUUGGCUAGAAAGCAUGUGUAAUAAGGAAUGAAUUCCAUUUUUUUAAUUGAUAGAGGUUCAGGAAUGUUUAUAUACUUGAGGAAAAAGCAUAGUGAGAGAUCUUAACAAGUCACUUCAUUCCUAAGCUUUGAUACCCCCAUCCGAGGUGAGGAGGAGAGGAGAGGAGUUUCUAUAAAGAUUAAAAUUGAAUUAAAAUCAUAUGCACAGUAGUGGCUUAUAUGCCACAAAGCCCUUUACACAUGUUAAUUUUUAUAACUAUUAUCAUCUAGUGACUGUACAGAUGAGUAAGCCCUGGUCACAGCUGUUCUAUAUUUUCUACCCUAUAUGACAGAGCUGUCAAGAGGAGACAGGCUCUUGAGUAGGCAGGGCUAAGACACAUAAAUAAGAGGCUAACACUGGUGUGAUUUGUAUCUUGACAUGCUUUGAGCUUUUGGAGGAUGGUGUGUGUAUGUGCGUGACUUACUAGAUGCAAUGAGUUACCAUUUAUUUCAACUUGCCCUGUAUUCUUAUUUUAAAAAUCUUACUUAAAACAUGGACACAUGUCAAAUCCAACAUGUCUCUAAAAAGAUCUAAUGUUUGGAGAAAAUUUUAGAAAUAUUCACAAACUAUGCAUCUGAUAAAGGUCUAUUCAGAAUCUAUAAGGAACUUAAACAAUUCAACAAGCAAAAAAUAACCCCAUUAACAAGUGGGCAGGCCGGGUGCAGUGGCUCACACCUGUAAUCCCAGCACUGUGGAAGGCUAAGGCAGGCAGACUACUUGAGGUCCGGAGUUCAAGACCAGCCUGGCCAACAUGGUGAAAUCUCCCCUACUAAAAAUACAAAAAUUAGCCAGGUGUGGUGGUGCACACUUGUAAUCCCAGAUACUCGGGAGGUUGAGGCAGGAGAAUCGCUUGAAUUCGGAAGGUGGAGACUACAGUGAGCCGAGAUGGUGCCACUGCGUUCCAGCCUGGGUGACAAAGUAAGACUCCGUCUCAAAAAUAAAUAAAUAAAUAAAUAAAUAGAAUACAUUUAAAAAGUUGGAAAAGGACAUGAACAGAUACUUUUCAAAAGAAGUCAUACAAACAGACAACAAACGUGGAAAAAUACUCAACAUCACUAAUCAUUAGAGAAAUGCAAAUCAAAACCACGGUAAGAUACCAUCUCACACCAAUCAGAAUGGCUAUUAUUAAAAAGUCAGGCUGGGCUCAGUGCCUCACACCUGUAAUCCCAGCACUUUGGGAGGCCGAGGAGGAUGGAUCACCUAAGGUCAGGAGUCUGAGACCAACUUGGCCAACAUGGUGGAACCCUGUUUUUGCUAAAAAUACAAAAAUUAGCCGGGUAUGGUGGCACAUGCCUGUAAUCCCAGCUACUCAGGAGGCUGAGGCAGGAGAAUUUCUUGAACCCGGGUGGCAGAGGUUACAUUGAGCCAAGAUCGCACCAUUGCACUCGAGUCUGGGUGAUAGAGCAAGACUCUGUCUCAAAAAAAAAAAAAACAAAAAAAAAAACAAAUAGUCAAAAGCCACAGUUGCUGGAGAGGCUACCAAGAAAAGGGAAUGCUUAUCUAUUGUCGGUGUGAAUGUAAAUUAGUUCAGCUACUGUGGAAAAGUAGUUUGGUGAUUUCUCAAAGAACUUAAAACAAAAUUACCAUUCAACACAGCAAUCUUCAUUACUGAGUAUAUAUCUAAAGGAAAAUAAACCAUUCUACCAAAAAGACACAUGCACUCACAUGUUCAUCACAGCACUAUUCACAAUAGCAAAGACAUGGAAUCAAUCUAGGUGUUCAUCAACAGUGGAUUGGAUUUUUAAAAAUAGGGUAUAUACAUAGCAUGGUAUAAUACACAGUCAAAAAAAUGAGUGAAAUCAUAUCCUUUGUAGCAACAUGGAUGGAGCUAGAGGUCAUUAUCCUGAGUGAAUUAAGGCAGAAACAGAAAACCAAAUGUGUUAGUAAGAUCUCACAAGUGGGAGUUAAGCAUUGGGUACUCAUGGACAUAAAGAUGACAACAAUAGGUACUGGGGACUACUAGAGGCAGGAAGGAGGAAGGGGGACAAAGGUUGAAAUACUUACCUAUUGGUCACUAUGCUCAUUAUCUAGGUGAGGGGAUCAUUCACACCCCAAACCUCAGUGUUAUGCCAUAUACCCAUGUAACAAACCUGCACAUGUACUCCUGAGUCUAAAAGUUAAAAUUAUUUUUUAAAAUAAAUAAAUAGGUCGGGCGUGGUGGCUCACACCUAUAAUCCCAGCACUUUGGGAGGCUGAGGCGGGUGGAUCACUUGAGGUUAGGAGUUCAAGACCAGCCUGACCAACAUGGUGAAACCCCAUCUCUGAAAAAUACAAAAUUAACUGGGCGUGGUGGCAUGCCCCUGUAAUCCCAGCUACUUGGGAAGCUGAGGCAGGAGAAUUGCUUGAACCCGGGAGGCAGAGGUUGCAGUGAGCCGAGAUCGAGCCACUGCACUCCAGCCUGGGCAACAAGAGUGAAACUCCAUCUCAAAAAAAAAAAUUAAAAUUAAAAAAUAAAUAAACAAAAUUAAAAGUUGCCAUGUUGAAAAACACUAAUCCAUCUUGAGAUGCAAGGAUCUGUACAAAUAAGACUAUAUACAUGAACUUCAGGUUACAUAAAGGAGCAGUUUCUGUUUGUAGGUGGGGGGAGUUAACUUUUUGUGUUUCUUUCUGGCUCAUUGCAGGAUCACAUUAUAAUUUUGCUUUGAUACAAAUUUGGCAACAGGAAUCAUAAUUCUUUUUCCAACUGACUACAGUGCUUGUAUACUUUUAACGAAUAAUCCCUGUGAGUUGUACAAAGCCUUAUAUAUUCAACAAAUCAGUGAAGUUUUUAUCCUCUUAAUAUUUACUUUGUAGCUUUGCUUUGAACCACCUCAGCCCCAGUUCUACACAGUUGGCAGUAAAGAUAUCUGCAAAUUCCACUCCCCCAUUUCCUUUCUGUUUUGCCCUUGGUUUUUCAACAGUGAGAUGAUUGUGCCUUCAUUUCUGGGUGCAUCCCUUCACUUAUUCCUUAUUUCCCUUCUCCAUCCCUUACUCCUUCCUUCUCUUCCCCAGGCCUUCACAACCUCUAGAUUUUAUUACUAGCAACUUCUUAGGCCAAUCCCAUAGCAUGCUCCUUCAUGCAUUACAUGAACAAAUUUUUUGAGGGUGCUGAACCAAACAGUCAGGUGUCUUUUUUCAAGAGUGAACAAGAAGCCACUUUUUAAAAACAGUUUUAUUGAGAUAUAAUUUGUAUUCUAUAAAAUUCGCAUUUAAAGUGUACAAUUCAAUGGUUUUCAGUAUAUCUAUUUAGCAGUGCACCCGUCACCAUAAUUAAUUUUAGAAUAUUUUCAUCAUCUCCAAAAGAAACCUUAUAUUCAUUAGCAGUCACUCAUCAAUUCUAUUCUCCCAUACCCCACCCCUUUAUUCCCUCUAGUCCUAGACAAACACUAAUAUGCUUUCUGUUUCUAUGGAUUUGCCUAUUCUGGACAUUUUAUAUAAAUGAGAUCAUAUAAUAUGUGGUCUUUUGUGACUGGCUUCCUUCACUUAGCAGAAUGUUUUUGAGGUUCAUCUAUAUUGUAGCAUCUAUCUGUACCUCAUUCCUUUUUAUUGCCAAAUAAUAUUUCAUUGUAUGGAUAUUUCACAUUUUGUUUAUCUGUUCAUCAGUUGAUGACAAAUGGGUUGUUUCUACUUUUUGGUUAUUGUGAAUAAAGUUUCUGUGAACA